AUUGAACGCUGGCGGCAGGCCUAACACAUGCAAGUCGAACGAGUGGCGGACGGGUGAGUAAUGUAUGGGAAACUGCCUGAUGGAGGGGGAUAACUACUGGACACGGUAGCUAAUACCGCAUACCAUCAGAUGUGCCCAGAUCGGAUUAGCUUGUUGUUGUGGUAACGGCUCACCAAGGCCACGAUCCCUAGCUGGUCUGAGAGGAUGACCAGCCACACUGGAACUGAGACACGGUCCAGAUUCCUACGGGAGGCAGCAGUGGGGAAUAUUGCACAAUGGGCGCAAGCCUGAUGCAGCCAGGCCGCGUGUAUGAAGAAGGCCUUCGGGUUGUAAAGCACUUUCAGCGGGGAGGCGUUACCAGCAGAAGAAGCACCGGCUAACGCCGUGCCAGCAGCCGCGGUAAUUC
rnacentral:rRNA from 1 species